rnacentral:rRNA from 1 species
AUGCAAAAAGAGAUGCAGUACCCAGCUGUACUCCAGUGGAGAGCAUCAGCCCAAAAGAAAACAAAUAUAAUGGCUGAAAAAAUUACUCCAGUUUAUACUCCUCUUUUAGCAGUACAGAUUAUAGCUAAUGCAACAUCAUGGGAGCUGAUGUACAGAUCCAGCGAAGGGUUUCUUCCACUCGUUGCCCAAGUGGCUCUUCUUGUAUGCCUUGUUAGCCCACCUCUGGUUCCUGCGGUGGGUCUUGAGCUUGCGCCCAGCUCCCAUACCACGUGUCUUACUGUAAUAAGAAUCCAUCCAUACUUACAUUAA